rnacentral:rRNA from 1 species
UACGAAGGGGGCUAGCGUUGUUCGGAAUUACUGGGCGUAAAGGGCGCGCAGGCGGUUCCUCAAGUCAGGCGUGAAAGCCCCGGGCUCAACCUGGGAACUGCGCUUGAGACUGCGGGACUGGAGUUCGGGAGAGGAGAGCGGAAUUCCCAGUGUAGAGGUGAAAUUCGUAGAUAUUGGGAAGAACACCGGUGGCGAAGGCGGCAUCCUGGACCGGCAUUGACGCUGAGGAGCGAAAGCCAGGGGAGCAAACGGG